rnacentral:rRNA from 2 species
UCCGGGAACUUGGUUUUUGGGUGGCGCAGCUAACGCAUUAAGUUAUCCGCCUGGGGAGUACGGCCGCAAGGUUAAAACUCAAAUGAAUUGACGGGGGCCUGCACAAGCGGUGGAGCAUGUGGUUUAAUUUGAAGCAACGCGCAGAACCUUACCAGCGUUUGACAUGUCCGGACGGUUGGCAGAGAUGCCUUCCUUCCCUUCGGGGACUGGAACACAGGUGCUGCAUGGCUGUCGUCAGCUCGUGUCGUGAGAUGUUGGGUUAAGUCCCGCAACGAGCGCAACCCUCGCCUUUAGUUACCAUCAUUCAGUUGGGGACUCUAAAGGAACCGCCGGUGAUAAGCCGGAGGAAGGUGGGGAUGACGUCAAGUCCUCAUGGCCCUUACGCGCUGGGCUACACACGUGCUACAAUGGCGGUGACAGUGGGCAGCAAACUCGCGAGAGUGCGCUAAUCUCCAAAAGCCGUCUCAGUUCGGAUUGUUCUCUGCAACUCGAGAGCAUGAAGGCGGAAUCGCUAGUAAUCGCGGAUCAGCAUGCCGCGGUGAAUACGUUCCCAGGCCUUGUACACCCCGCCCGUCACACCAUGGGAGUUGGGU